rnacentral:rRNA from 1 species
UCCUACGGGACGCAGCAGUGGGGAAUAUUGGGCAAUGGACGCAAGUCUGACCCAGCAACGCCGCGUGAAGGAAGAAGGCUUUCGGGUUGUAAACUUCUUUUAAGGGGGAAGAGUAGAAGACGGUACCCCUUGAAUAAGCCACGGCUAACUACGUGCCAGCAGCCGCGGUAAUACGUAGGUGGCAAGCGUUGUCCGGAUUUACUGGGUGUAAAGGGCGUGCAGCCGGAGAGACAAGUCAGAUGUGAAAUCCUAUGGCUUAACCAUAGAACUGCAUUUGAAACUGUUAUUCUAGAGUAUGGGAGAGG